rnacentral:rRNA from 1 species
UACGAAGGGGGGCUAGCGUUGCUCGGAAUCACUGGGCGUAAAGGGUGCGUAGGCGGAUUCUUAAGUCAGGGGUGAAAUCCCAGAGCUCAACUCUGGAACUGCCUUUGAUACUGGGGAUCUCGAGUUCGGGAGAGGUGAGUGGAACUGCGAGUGUAGAGGUGAAAUUCGUAGAUAUUCGCAAGAACACCAGUGGCGAAGGCGGCUCACUGGCCCGAUACUGACGCUGAGGUGCGAAAGCGUGGGGAGCAAACAGG